rnacentral:rRNA from 1 species
AGGAUAGAGGCCUACCAUGGUGGUAACGGGUAACGGGGAAUUAGGGUUCGAUUCCGGAGAGGGAGCCUGAGAAACGGCUACCACUUCCAAGGAAGGCAGCAGGCGCGCAAAUUACCCAAUCCCGACACGGGGAGGUAGUGACAAUAAAUAACAAUACGGGGCUCUUUCGGGUCUCGUAAUUGGAAUGAGUACAAUUUAAAUCCCUUAACGAGGAACAAUUGGAGGGCAAGUCUGGUGCCAGCAGCCGCGGUAAUUCCAGCUCCAAUAGCGUAUAUUAAAGUUGUUGCAGUUAAAAAGCUCGUAGUUGAAUUUCGGGAUUGACGUGAUGGUCGUGCCUUAAGGGGUAUGAACUGUCGCAGUUGAUUUCUCACCUUCUGGAGAAGCAUGAUGUCCUUAAUUGGGUGUCAUGUGGAACCAGGACCUUUACCUUGAAAAAAUUAGAGUGUUUAAAGCAGGCAUUUUGCUCGAAUACAUUAGCAUGGAAUAAUAGAAUAGGACGGCAUGGUUCUAUUUUGUUGGUUUCUAGGAUCACCGUAAUGAUUAAUAGGGAUAGUUGGGGGCAUUAGUAUUCAAUUGUCAGAGGUGAAAUUCUUGGAUUUAUUGAAGACUAACUACUGCGAAAGCAUUUGCCAAGGAUGUUUUCAUUAAUCAAGAACGAAAGUUAGGGGAUCGAAGACGAUCAGAUACCGUCGUAGUCUUAACCAUAAACUAUGCCGACUAGGAAUCAGACGA